rnacentral:lncRNA from 1 species
GGUGACAUCAGCACAUUUGUUAAUGUCGUGGCCUCCAUCAACAAGGAUCUCAGGUUCAACAAUGGGGACAAGACCAUUCUGCUGGCAGAUGAUGGCAUAUCUUGCAAGGCCAUUGGCAUUGUCAUUGAUAGCAAGCUGAGAAGGCUCGUUGGCACCAAUCUUGAGCACUGCACGCCAUUUUGCAAACCUAGCACCAGCAGCAUAGUACUUUUGGCAGCGCUCAGCAAGGCCAUCCAAACCCUGAGUAGUCGUCUCACCAUCGGUUCCAGGAAGCUCUACGGUACCCUUGUCGACUUUAAUCCCAGGGAGAACUCCACCCUCCUUCAAGACAUCAACAAAAGGCUUGCCUGCAGAUAUGAGUAAAAACUGUCAGAAUAUCAUACAUAAAGCACCCCAAGUGCAAUUAUCAGGUAAGCUGAAUAUCAUUAAUCCAUUCUUCGCACACGAAAAUACAUAUUACAAUCCAUAUGAACAUACCGGAUGCAGUCUUCUGAUAGAGGGUUUCCUCAAACAAGAUAACUCCACUAAGGUACUGAAGAGCACCAGGUGUGAGGAAGAGCAGCUCCCGGAGAGCCCUCCGGUUUUCCUCAACAUUCUCAACAUUAAUACUAGAUAGACGCUUGCCAAUUGUGCCAGUAGACUCGUCAGCAGCAAGGAUACCCUUACCAGGGGUGGCUAUGUAUGCAGCAUUUGCGAUGAGCUC